AAAGAACGUUCUGUUGCAGCGAUGGCCGCCACCGAGCCAGGGAGUUGGCGGUUUCUGCCUUCUGGAGCGUUUUGGGGGGUUCUCUUGCCUUUGGAAGGCCGCCCAGAACCCGUACAGAUGGCAAACAACCUGAUUUAGACUAGAUGGCAUGACAGUCAUGGCUUCUUCACACUGACACACCAUUUUUUAAUUCUUACUUCUACCAAGGAACAAACCGUAACUUAUCAAUUGAGUGAAAAAGGAGAACUAACAGGAUUAGACAGCUGAUCUUAAAGGCAAGUAAAGUGCAACCCUUUGAACUGGAUUUAAAUAAAGAAGAGAGAAGACACAGCUGUCAAAAAUGUUCUACUAUACAGUCAAAGGUGUCGACUCUGUGACCCCGAGAAUUAAGCAUGACAGCGCUUGGAAAAAUUCCUACCUUUCAUGAAACAUCCCACUUUUGGAAUUUUUUUUCAUUAUGUUGAAAAGUAUCUGUGAUUUAAUCACAAAAAUGUAUUGAAAUAAUAAAAAUGACCUUAAAAUUGAA